rnacentral:rRNA from 1 species
GAUGAACGCUGGCGGCGUGCCUAAUACAUGCAAGUCGAGCGAACGGACGAGAAGCUUGCUUCUCUGAUGUUAGCGGCGGACGGGUGAGUAACACGUGGAUAACCUACCUAUCAGACUGGGAUCACUUCGGGAAACCGUAGCUAAUACCGGAUAAUCUUUUGAACCGCAUGGUUCAAAAGUGAAAGACGGUCUUGCUGUCACUUAUAGAUGGAUCCGCGCUGCAUUAGCUAGUUGGUAAGGUAACGGCUUACCAAGGCAACGAUGCAUAGCCGACCUGAGAGGGUGAUCGGCCGCACGAGAACGGAGACGCGGUCCAGGCUCCUACGGGAGGCAGCAGUAGGGAAUCUUCCGCAAUGGGCGAAAGCCUGACGGAGCAACGCCGCGUGAGUGAUGAAGGUCUUCGGAUCGUAAAACUCUGUUAUGAGGGAAGAACAGAUGUGUAAGUAACUGUGCACAGCUUGACGGUACCUAAUCAGAAAGCCACGGCUAACUACGCG